rnacentral:tRNA from 1 species
GGUCACGGGGGGUUAACAUCUGACUACGGAUCAGAAGGUUGGAGGUUCGAAUCCUUUCGGGCGCA